CGCGUAGGUGGUUGGGUAGGUUGGUGGUGAAAGGUGCGGGCUUAACCCGCAUAGGUCCACCAAGACCGCUCGACUGUGAGGGCAGUAGAGGAAGGUGGAAUUCCGGGUGUAGUGGUGAAAUGCGUAGAUAUCCGGAGGAACACCGGUGGCGAAGGCGGCCUUCUGGGCUGUCCCUGACACUGAGGCGCGAAAGCGUGGGGAGCGAACUGAAUUAGAUACUCAGGUAGUCCACGCCCUCAACGAUGGACACUAGGUGUGGGGGGUAUCGACCCCUCCCGUGCCGGAGCUAACGCAGUAAGUGUCCCGCCUGGGGAGUACGGCCGCAAGGCUAAA
rnacentral:rRNA from 1 species